rnacentral:rRNA from 1 species
ACUACGCUGGCGGCAGGCUUAACACAUGCAAGUCGAACGGUAACAGAAAGUAGCUUGCUACUUUGCUGACGAGUGGCGGACGGGUGAGUAAUGCUUGGGAAUAUGCCUUAUGGUGGGGGACAACAGUUGGAAACGACUGCUAAUACCGCAUAACAUCUCCGGAUCAAAGUGGGGGACCUUCGGGCCUCACGCCAUAAGAGUAGCCCAAGUGGGAUUAGCUAGUUGGUAAGGUAAUGGCUUACCAAGGCGACGAUCCCUAGUUGGUCUUAGAGGAUGACCAGCCACACUGGAACUGAGACACGGUCCCAGACUCCUACGGGAGGCAGCAGUGGGGAAUAUUGCACAAUGGGCGCAAGCCUGAUGCAGCCAUGCCGCGUGUGUGAAGAAGGCUUUCGGGUUGUAAAGCACUUUCAGCGAGGAGGAAAGGGUGUUAGUUAAUAUCUAGCAUCUGUGACGUUACUCGCAGAAGAAGCACCGGCUAACUCCGUGCCAGCAGCCGCGGUAAUACGG